AUUGGUACUAAGUGGUUGCAUAGCUGUGACUAGGGCUAUGACACUACUAAAUCAAAUGCCAGCUUAUUACAAGACAUAAGGAAUCCAUUAAAGUGGCUCAAGCAUGAAUUUCAGCAUAGAAUUGUGGCUCUGCAGAUGGUGAAGAAUCCUAAGAAUGCAUCAGCAGGUAGCUAUAGCACAGAUGAGAGAAUGGGAGUGGACAGUCUAUGAACAGGAGCAAGAUUGAAGAGUCGCUAACUGCAGCAUUGAUAGGACAUGAGGAAGGCCAUAGGUUUUAAAUCAGAAGAUAACAGGCGAAAGCUAAUGACACUAGAAGUGAGAUUAACUGAGAUUAAUUUCUCCAACUUCCGUUUUGCUACCUUCACUUCAAUUGUUAACAAGCAAUUUCCAUCAGCUUUAGUGUGAAAUGGAUCAGCCAAUAUGAACGCAUAUUGUGAAUGACUCACCCUGUAUCAACUGUCUAUACAUGAGUAAAGCCACAUGUCCCCACACUGCUGAUAGUCUUUAUUAUGGGCUUUCUUUAAGACUCUUGCCAUCGGUUGCUGUUUUUCCACCAAAUCUGAAAGAUCCUUAGAAUGAGUCACAGAAGCAACUGUCCGGGUUUCACUGACUGCAAUCCAUUGGAUGCAGGCAGUUGACUGACAUCGGAGAAAGGGCCAAGAGAACCGGGUUUACUUAUCAUGGACACGAAAAGAUGGAUGGCAACUGUGCAGAAGAUAAAGCCAGGCUUUUCUCAGAGGUGCAUUAAGAGAGAACGAUGCAACAGAUGCAACUGGAAAUUCUGCUGGAAAUACCUGGAUUAGCACUGGAAAAUGUUGUCUGUAGAACCUCCAGUGUAGGGGAUUUUCAAAACUCAGCUGAACAAGGUUGUGAACAACCUGAUCUACAGUUGGAGUUCAUCCUGCUUUGAGCAGGAGGUUGGACUUGGUCUUGGUGGCUUUCAGAGGUCCCAGAGGGAUAUUUAUAAAUAAACAGCAGCAGAAUAACUAACAGAUUAGAAAGAAGAGCUUUUGUUACAGACAACAUCGCUGCAAAUAAUAUUAACUUCACACACUAAUAUAGUGCAAGUUACUUUAAACAAGUAUGACAGUGUCAGACAUACAGGCCCAUUAAAACAUUGGAACUCUUGCUAGUACCAUUUGCUAAUAAUCUUGUACACUGGACUUAUUUCAACUCAUUAGAAGCUUUAUAAGCUCAUUUUUAUAAUAUUUAUAACUAUACUUCAUGGAAAAAAAAAUGGACUACACUUCUGGAAGAAAAAGAUAAUCUGAGAAUUAAUUAAAAAAUAAAUCUUUUUAACUAUUAAAAAAAAAAAAGAAGAAGUUUAACAAAAGCUAAAGAAUGUCUUAAAGAUAAACCUUGAUCAAUCCUUCACUUCAACUGUGUUAGGUCUCUUGACAAUAAUUUGCUUUAGUUCUGAUGAGAGGUCCAUCUAAAAGUGUGUGGGCAAGCUGAGUAGUUUAGAGACACUUCAGAUAUGUUCAGAAAUGUUCAUAACCAAAGCACAGGCUUUCAGGAUACUGUUCUGCCCUGGUAUCUCUGUUUAUUCAUUACAAGUGUGAGUAUGUUACCGAUGAAAUAUAACUAGUUCUGUGCAACACCUUAAACCACUUUUUUUCAUCUUUGCUCAAAUUGUGUCCUCCUGAAAUUUUGAUACAGCGACUUUCUUCUCAUGUGGUAAAAGUUGUAUCAUAUAAUAUUAUCAAUUGCAUUCCCAAAUUGUAACAAAAUGAAUUCUGGAUGUAUUACACGUCCAAUAAAAAG
ensembl:lncRNA